rnacentral:rRNA from 1 species
GGAUCUAAAGACGAUGACGGGUAGCCGGCCUGAGAGGGCGACCGGCCACACUGGGACUGAGACACGGCCCAGACUCCUACGGGAGGCAGCAGUGGGGAAUAUUGCACAAUGGGCGAAAGCCUGAUGCAGCGACGCAGCGUGAGGGAUGACUGCCUUCGGGUUGUAAACCUCUUUCAGUAGGGAAGAAGCGAAAGUGACGGUACCUGCAGAAGAAGCGCCGGCUAACUACGUGCCAGCAGCCGCGGUAAUACGUAGGGCGCAAGCGUUAUCCGGAAUUAUUGGGCGUAAAGAGCUUGUAGGUGGCUUGUCGCGUCUGCCGUGAAAACCCGAGGCUCAACCUCGGGCGUGCGGUGGGUACGGGCAGGCUAGAGUGUGGUAGGGGAGACUGGAACUCCUGGUGUAGCGGUGAAAUGCGCAGAUAUCAGGAAGAACACCGAUGGCGAAGGCAGGUCUCUGGGCCAUUACUGACACUGAGAAGCGAAAGCAUGGGUAGCGAACAGGAUUAGAUACCCUGGUAGUCCAUGCCGUAAACGUUGGGCACUAGAUGUGGGGGACAUUCCACGUUUUCCGCGUCGUAGCUAACGCAUUAAGUGCCCCGCCUGGGGAGUACGGA